CCCCCGGUUCAAAGGCAGUCGAUAGUCCGCGGCGUAAAGAGUGGUUAGAGAAAAUCUAUUACUAAAGCCGAACCCCUUCAAGGCUGUUAUACGCAUACCGAAGAGGAGAAGCCCGCCCACGAAAGUGGCUUUACAACCUUGAACCCACGAAAGCUAAGGUACAAACUGGGAUUAGAUACCCCACUAUGA
rnacentral:rRNA from 1 species